rnacentral:rRNA from 1 species
ACGAAGGGGGCUAGCGUUGUUCGGAAUUACUGGGCGUAAAGCGCACGUAGGCGGACUAUUAAGUCAGGGGUGAAAUCCCGGGGCUCAACCCCGGAACUGCCUUUGAUACUGGUAGUCUCGAGUCCGGAAGAGGUGAGUGGAAUUCCGAGUGUAGAGGUGAAAUUCGUAGAUAUUCGCAGGAACACCAGUGGCGAAGGCGACUUGCUGGAUCUUUGCUGACGCUGAGACGCGAAAGCGUGGGGAGCAAACAGGA